rnacentral:lncRNA from 1 species
UAGCAUCUCCUGUUUAUGGGCUGAAGGGAUCCUCCCUUACAGGGUUCGAUCUCUGUGCUUACAGUGUUAGUUCCUGGAUCAACUCGCUAGCACACACAGUUUCAAGAUGUAAUAUCAAGAUACAAAAGUCAAAAGUAUACUUACAUCGCAUUGAUCCAGAAUUUAGUAAUAACUUACAUAUUGCAUAACCUCAUGGGUUAACUCAAAAGAAAAAAAAAUCUUGCAGCGGAAGACAGAAGAUGCAUGAGUCCCAUAAUAACUCCACAGUCGAAACAUGUUGGAAUGUAAACUCGCAACCCUAACAAUUCGUACCUCACUUUUCACCUAGUUCACCUACAACAUUUAAACGUUGCAGCCAUUGGAGAGUCAAUACACUGAAUGUAUUGGCAAGCUCACCUGGAAGUUAUAAC